AUAGAAGUAACAAAUACCCUAAAGGCACCUGAUCCCAUCUGAUCUUGGAAGCUAAACAAGGUCAUCACUGGCUAGUACUUGGAUGGGAGACUGCCAAUAAAUACUGGGUUUUGUA
rnacentral:rRNA from 1 species